GAAAUGCGAUAAGUAGUGUGAAUUGCAGAAUUCAGUGAAUCAUCGAAUCUUUGAACGCACAUUGCGCCCCUCGGUAUUCCGUGGGGCAUGCCUGUUCGAGCGUCAUUUACACCCUCAAGCUCUGCUUGGUGUUGGGCGUUUGUCCCGCCUCUCGCGCGUGGACUCGCUUCAAAGUCAUUGGCAGCGGCCUCGCCGGCUUCUCGCGCAGCACAUUUGCGCUUCUUGCAGCCCUGGCGUAUCCGCGUCCAGCAAGCUCUUUUUGCGACUUGACCUCGGAUCAGGUAGGGAUACCCGCUGAACUUAA
rnacentral:misc_RNA from 1 species